UGGGGGAUAUUGCACAAUGGGCGAAAGCUUGAUGCAGCGACGCCGCGUGGGGGAUGAAGGCCUUCGGGUUGUAAACUUCUUUUGCUCUGAACAAGGCAUGCCUUUGGGGUGUGUUGAGUGUAGGGGUUGAUUAGCGCCGGCUAACUACGUGCCAGCAGCCGCGGUAAUACGUAGGGCGCGAGCGGUGUCCGGAAUUAUUGGGCGUAAAGGGCUUGUAGGUGGCUGGUUUCGUCUGUCGUGAAAGCUCAUGGCUUAACUGUGGGUUUGCGGUGGGUACGGGCUGGCUUGAGUGCAGUAGGGGAGGCUGGAAUUCCUGGUGUAGCGGUGGAAUGCGCAGAUAUCAGGAGGAAUACCGGUGGCGAAGGCGGGUCUCUGGGCUGUUACUGACGCUGAGGAGCGAAAGCGUGGGGAGCGAACAGG
rnacentral:rRNA from 1 species